rnacentral:rRNA from 1 species
GGUUUGGCACCUCGAUGUCGGCUCAUCGCAUCCUGGGGCUGUAGUCGGUCCCAAGGGUUGGGCUGUUCGCCCAUUAAAGCGGUACGCGAGCUGGGUUCAGAACGUCGUGAGACAGUUCGGUCCCUAUCCGUCGCGGGCGCAGGAAAUUUGAGAGGAGCUGUCCUUAGUACGAGAGGACCGGGAUGGACGCACCGCUGGUGUACCAGUUGUUCUGCCAAGGGCAUCGCUGGGUAGCUAUGUGCGGACGGGAUAAGUGCUGAAAGCAUCUAAGCAUGAAGCCCCCCUCAAGAUGAGAUUUCCCAUUCCGCAAGGAAGUAAGAUCCCUGAAAGAUGAUCAGGUUGAUAGGUCUGAGGUGGAAGUGUGGCGACACAUGGAGCUGACAGAUACUAAUCGAUCGAGGACUUAACCUAAA